rnacentral:rRNA from 1 species
GGACGAACGCUGGCGGCGUGCUUACCACAUGCAAGUCGAACGAUGAAGCCUAGCUUGCUGGGUGGAUUAGUGGCGAACGGGUGAGUAACACGUGAGUAACCUGCCCCUUACUCUGGGAUAAGCGCUGGAAACGGCGUCUAAUACUGGAUAUUACCUUUCAUCGCAUGGUGUUUGGUGGAAAGAUUUUUCGGUUUGGGAUGGACUCGCGGCCUAUCAGCUUGAUGGUGAGGUAGUGGCUCACCAUGGCGACGACGGGUAGCCGGCCUGAGAGGGUGACCGGCCACACUGGGACUGAGACACGGCCCAGACUCCUACGGGAGGCAGCAGUGGGGAAUAUUGCACAAUGGGCGCAAGCCUGAUGCAGCAACGCCGCGUGAGGGAUGACGGCCUUCGGGUUGUAAACCUCUUUUAGUAGGGAAGAAGCGUAAGUGACGGUACCUACAGAAAAAGCACCGGCUAACUACGUG